rnacentral:rRNA from 1 species
AUUGAACGCUGGCGGCAGGCCUAACACAUGCAAGUCGAGCGGAGCGGCGGACGGGUGAGUAAUGCCUAGGAAUCUGCCUGGUAGUGGGGGAGAACGUCCGGAAACGGGCGCUAAUACCGCAUAAUAUAAGAUGAGACUAGGUUGGAUUAGCUAGUUGGUGGGGUAAAGGCAGACCAAGGCGAGGAUCCGUAACUGGUCUGAGAGGAUGAUCAGUCACACUGGAACGUAGACACUGUCCAGAUUCCUACGGGAGGCCGCAUUGGGGAAUAUUGGACAAUGGGCGAAAGCCUGAUCCAGCCAUGCCGCGUGUGUGAAGAAGGUCUUCGGAUUGUAAAGCACUUUAAGUUGGGAGGCGUUACCAACAGAAUAAGCACCGGCUAACUUCGUGCCAGCAGCCGCGGUAAUUC